rnacentral:rRNA from 1 species
GGAAAAGAAACCAACAGGGAUUGCCUCAGUAACGGCGAGUGAAGCGGCAAGAGCUCAAAUUUGAAAUCUGGAGCCUUCGGCUUCCGAGUUGUAAUUUGAAGAGGGUGUUUCGGUUGCGGCCCUGGCCUAAGUUCCUUGGAACAGGACGUCAUGGAGGGUGAGAAUCCCGUACAUGGCUGAGGGCUUGCUUCCAUGUGAAACCCCUUCGAAGAGUCGAGUUGUUUGGGAAUGCAGCUCAAAAUGGGUGGUAAAUUUCAUCUAAAGCUAAAUAUUGGCGGGAGACCGAUAGCGCACAAGUAGAGUGAUCGAAAGAUGAAAAGCACUUUGAAAAGAGAGUUAAACAGUACGUGAAAUUGUUGAAAGGGAAGCGCUUGCAAUCAGACUCGCUUUCGGUUGAUCAACGAUUCCUUCUGGUUCGUGCACUCUGCCGUUUGCGGGCCAGCAUCAGUUGGGGCGGUGGGACAAAGGCGGUGGGAAUGUGGCUCCCCUCGGGGAGUGUUAUAGCCCAUCGUGCCAUGCCACCAGCCCCGACUGAGGUCCGCGGUUCGCCUAGGAUGCUGGCUUAAUGGUUGUAAGCGACCCGUCUUGAAACACGGACCAAGGAGUCUAACAUCUACGCGAGUCUUUGGGUGUCAAACCCAUGGGCGCAAUGAAAGUGAACGGAGGUGGGAGUCCUCGGACGCACCAUCGACCGAUCCUGAUGUUCUCGGAUGGAUUUGAGUAUGAGCAUAGCUGUUGGGACCCGAAAGAUGGUGAACUAUGCCUGAAUAGGGUGAAGCCAGAGGAAACUCUGGUGGAGGCUCGCAGCGGUUCUGACGUGCAAAUCGAUCGUCAAAUUUGGGUAUAGGGGCGAAAGACUAAUCGAACCAUCUAGUAGCUGGUUCCAU